UACGUAGGUGGCGAGCGUUGUCCGGAAUUACUGGGUGUAAAGGGCGUUUAGGCGGGGAUGUAAGUCAGAUGUGAAAUUCUUGGGCUCAACUCAAGCGCUGCAUCUGAAACUAUAUCUCUUGAGUGCUGGAGAGGAAAGCGGAAUUCCUAGUGUAGCGGUGAAAUGCGUAGAUAUUAGGAGGAACACCAGUGGCGAAGGCGGCUUUCGGGACAGUAAUUGACGAUGAGGCGCGAAAGCGUGGGGAGCAAACAGG
rnacentral:rRNA from 1 species